UGCUGCUAAAAUAGUCGAUAUAAAAAAUAAGAGGUAUAUUGUCCAAGAAGUCCUAGCCAUGGGAUAUUUGCUAAAAUUCAUAAACCAACAGUGGUGCUAAGGAUCAUUAAGAAUCAACCAUCAUAAAAUCAACAAACACUAAUUGAUGUGAAAAGUAAUGAACCUAAGGAUAAGCACCGCACUGUUAGUACUCAUGAUAAAUGCUUAUGCUUUGAGCUUAUGAUCACAAAGCUCUCCUAGUAUGCCCUUUUGGCUUGUAAAU
rnacentral:lncRNA from 1 species